GGCGACGUACCCAAGUGGAAAGGGACGAGUCUGCAAAACUCCCAUGCACCGGUUCGAUUCCGGUCGUCGCCUCCA
rnacentral:tRNA from 1 species